rnacentral:pre_miRNA from 1 species
UCAUUCAGAUUCGCCAUCAUACGUCCAACUGUGCAUUUGAUAUGCAUAUAUAUAUAUAUAUAUAUAUAUAUAUAUAUGCAUCAUGAGCCACGGUUGGGCUGUAUGAUGGCGAUAUCGAUUGA